rnacentral:rRNA from 1 species
UACGUAGGGGGCAAGCGUUAUCCGGAUUUACUGGGUGUAAAGGGAGCGUAGACGGCAUGGCAAGUCUGAUGUGAAAGGCUGGGGCUCAACCCCGGGACUGCAUUGGAAACUGUCAGGCUAGAGUACAGGAGGGGCAAGCGGAAUUCCUAGUGUAGCGGUGAAAUGCGUAGAUAUUAGGAGGAACACCGGUGGCGAAGGCGGCUUGCUGGACUGUAACUGACGUUGAGGCUCGAAAGCGUGGGGAGCAAACAGG